CAAUAGCGUAUAUUAAAGUUGUUGCAGUUAAAAAGCUCGUAGUUGGAUUUCUGAUCGAGACAUCAGGUCGGGUCCGAGAGGAUCAUGUACUUUGAUUUUGUUUUGAUCAUCCUUGGGGAGAGCAUUUCUGGCAUUAAGUUGUCGGGAUUGGGAUCCUCAUCGUUUACUGUGAAAAAAUUAGAGUGUUCAAAGCAGGCCUCGGCCUCUGAAUACAUUAGCAUGGAAUAAUAAGAUAGGACUUUGGUGGUCUAUUUUGUUGGUUUGCACGCCAAAGUAAUGAUUAAUAGGGAUAGUUGGGGGUAUUCGUAUUCAAUUGUCAGAGGUGAAAUUCUUGGAUUUAUGGAAGACGAACUACUGCGAAAGCAUUUACCAAGGAUGUUUUCAUUAA
rnacentral:rRNA from 1 species